GGGCCCGCACAAGCGGUGGAGCAUGUGGUUUAAUUCGAUGCAACGCGAAGAACCUUACCUGGGCUUAAACUGCAGCGGAAAUCCGGUGAAAGCCGGCCCUCCUUCGGGAUCGCUGUAGAGGUGCUGCAUGGCUGUCGUCAGCUCGUGUCGUGAGAUGUUGGGUUAAGUCCCGCAACGAGCGCAACCCUUGUCCUUAGUUGCCAUCAGGUAAUGCUGGGCACUCUAGGGAGACUGCCUCGGAAGACGAGGAGGAAGGUGGGGAUGACGUCAAGUCCUCAUGGCCCUUACGUCCAGGGCUACACACGUGCUACAAUGGCCGGUACAGAGGGAUGCAAGACCGCGAGGUGGAGCCAAUCCCCAAAACCGGUCUCAGUUCGGAUUGGAGUCUGCAACUCGACUCCAUGAAGUUGGAAUCGCUAGUAAUCGCGAAUCAGCAGGUCGCGGUGAAUACGUUCCCGGGCCUU
rnacentral:rRNA from 1 species